rnacentral:rRNA from 1 species
GAUGAACGCUGGCGGCGUGCCUAAUACAUGCGAGUCGAGCGAACAGAUGAGGAGCUUGCUCCUCUGACGUUAGCGGCGGACGGGUGAGUAACACGUGGAUAACCUACCUAUAAGACUGGGAUAACUUCGGGAAACCGGAGCUAAUACCGGAUAAUAUAUUGAACCGCAUGGUUCAAUAGUGAAAGACGGUUUUGCUGUCACUUAUAGAUGGAUCCGCGCCGCAUUAGCUAGUUGGUAAGGUAACGGCUUACCAAGGCAACGAUGCGUAGCCGACCUGAGAGGGUGAUCGGUCACACUGGAACUGAGACACGGUCCAGACUCCUACGGGAGGCAGCAGUAGGGAAUCUUCCGCAAUGGGCGAAAGCCUGACGGAGCAACGCCGCGUGAGUGAUGAAGGUCUUCGGAUCGUAAAACUCUGUUAUUAGGGAAGAACAAAUGUGUAAGUAACUAUGCACGUCUUGACGGUACCUAAUCAGAAAGCCACGGCUAACUACGUG